GCUGGGAAGUUCUUCCAGCUUCCCAGCCAUGGCUGAAGUACAGGAUUUGAUAAGCUAAACCUGUAUGUAUCCCUUGGUUAUAUGUAUGGAAGGGCUCGAGGAACACUAUAAUUAGUAUAUCACAACAUACUUACUUUUCUACCUAAUGCAAUGACAUUUCUUCCCCUGCCUUAGUAAUUAAUUAAUGUUUGGAAAAUAUUUAAGAAAUGUAAAGCUCCCAGUAAGAGGUAAAUGCUAUUAAUUGUAAUUGCCAAGUAGAUUAUUUCUCAGCUUUCACAUGGUUCUGUUCCCUCUGGUUAAACACCGAGGGAUGUUUCCCUUCAGGGUAGCUCCAUAACUCCUGUUCUCAUUGCAUGGCUGAGAUAAUACAGUUUGUGCUUGUUUUGUCAGCAGGAGGGGGAGACAACUACAGUGCUAGAAGUUUUCCAAGGGUUGCUCAGGUGUCUUUUAAUUAUGGUGAGGUAAAAAUAUCUUGUCUGCAAAACAGUCCAGAUUGCUGAAUUAAUAUCCCAGCUGGGUCUCUAACCUGAGUGAUCACCUCACCUGCAUUUCUGCAGAUUGCAGACUUGUGCAGAGAGUGGUUCAGCUUGGCUAUCCCCAAAAUGAUUUCUCACCUUCAUUUUCCUGUGCUCCAUCCCCUGUACAUGAACCCCUGACACUGUGGCUCAUGUUGUGCUGCAUUAAUGGCUUCAGAGGACUGAACAUGGCAGUAAAAUGGCUCUGUUCAUACCUGCCAGGUAUGAGCUGUAUUAAACAGUGCAUGUGAUGCAUUUUUAGCCAGUGAUCAAAGGGAUUGGGGAAGACAUACCCCAGGGAUCUUAUUUAAUUGCUGUUAAAAGGAUUUUAAUAGACAAAUGAAGGAUUGUUGAGAGGACAGCAUGGUGGGGGAACUGCUCUCACUUGUGGAUAUUCUGUCUGUUGCCUCAUUGCAUUGCAGAGAUGAGCUAAGAAACUCACCCCACUGGGCUGCUGCAGUGGAUGACACAAGCCCUUCAGGAAGGUCAGCCUGGGAGGUGGCAGCAGAAUUUGUCCUUUGUGUGAGAGAGCAGCAGGAAUGCCUGGAGCUCUGCCUUGAGGUGGAUGAUGAGCCAGGGGAGAGUUUCAGGUCAAGGCACGCUGUUAGGAAGUCUUCUGCCCACAGAUGAUUGCAUCAAGGCAGGGACAAUUCAAGGUGUAAAGCUCUGGGGACAGAGUUACUGUGGAGCUGGUACAUGGAAGCAGCUGCCAGUGCUCCUCCUUUGGCUGUCUCCAGGGAAAUGGGUGUAGGAAAUUCCUCCUUCUCAAUGAACUGCAUGGAAAUGGAGUUCUCCAGUGGAGUGCUCUUCACUUGGCAAGUUUUUUCUCUAGUGAUAUCCACUUAGUUCCUAACAAAAAUGUAUUCAGAAGAUUAGUGGCAGUACACUUGGAAGCUGGAACCACUCAGGACUAAUGAUAUAAUUACUCUCAAAAGCCAUUUGUAAAGCAAUUAUGUGCUAUUGUUCUCUUUUGUUCUGUAUCUUUAUAAAAGUGAGCCAUCUUGGCAGGCUGUGAUGGGCAUGUGUUGAGCUGGCUGUUAUGUAAGAAUACAAAUAAUUUGUGUGCAUAUUUAUAAAAGAAAAACAAUGCUUUUACAGUGUGACUGAUUUGUUUCGAUGUAAAAAUCUUUGUACAGGAACAUGUUUGCUGUUUCAAUUUCUGAUGUAGCUGGUGUUUUUCAAUACAUAGUCUUGUAAUUUCUGUAGAAAAUUUUGUGGGUUUAUUUAGCUGCUCUUCACAGCCCAGGCUGUUUCUAUGCAUGUGCAAUAUAGUGUGGGGAGUGCUGUGCUUGUUACCUGAUUAAAUGUUAAUUUAUUUAA